rnacentral:tRNA from 1 species
GGAGAGAUGUCCGAGUGGUUGAAGGAGGCGGUCUCGAAAACCGUUGUACGGGACUACCCGUACCGUGGGUUCGAAUCCCACUCUCUCCGCCA